rnacentral:rRNA from 1 species
CCUACGGGCGGCAGCAGUGGGGGAUAUUACACAAUGGGGGGAACCCUGAUGCAGCGACGCCGCGUGGGUGAAGGAGUGCUUCGGCAUGUAAAGCCCUAUCGGCAGGGAAGAAGCAAGACGGUACCUGACUAAGAAGCCCCGGCUAACUACGUGCCAGCAGCCGCGGUAAUACGUAGGGGGCGAGCGUUAUCCGGAUUCACUGGGUGUAAAGGGAGCGUAGACGGCCAUGCAAGCCAGGGGUGAAAGCCCGGGGCCCAACCCCGGGACUGCCCUUGGAACUGUGCGGCUAGAGUGCGGGAGGGGCAGGCGGAAUGCCUGGUGUAGCGGUGAAAUGCGUAGAUAUCAGGAGGAACACCGGCGGCGAAGGCGGCCUGCUGGACCGCGACUGACGUUGAGGCUCGAAAGCGUGGGGAGCGAACAGGAUUAGAUACCCGGGUAGUC